rnacentral:rRNA from 1 species
AGCAGCCGCGGUAAUUCCAGCUCCAAUAGCGUAUAUUAAAGUUGUUGCAGUUAAAAAGCUCGUAGUUGAAUUUCGGGGUUUAUCCGUUGGUCGGGCUUUUUGGUCUGUACUGGCGUGAUGGAUUCCUACCUUCUGAAUAACCGGCAUGCCAUUAAUUUGGUGCGCCGGGGAAGCAGGACUGUUACCUUGAAAAAAUUAGAGUGCUUAAAGCAGGCUUAUGCCUGAAUACAUUAGCAUGGAAUAAUGAAAUAGGACGGCAUGGUUCUAUUUUGUUGGUUUCUAGGAUCACCGUAAUGAUUAAUAGGGAUAGUUGGGGGCAUUAGUAUUCAAUUGUCAGAGGUGAAAUUCUUGGAUUUAUUGAAGACUAACUUCUGCGAAAGCAUUUGCCAAGGAUGUUUUCAUUAAUCAAGAACAAAAGUUAGGGGAUCGAAGACGAAUCAGAUACCGUCGUAGUCUUAACCAUAAACUAUGCCGACUAGGGAUCGGACGGAUGUUAAUUUUUUAAUGACUCGUUCUUAGG